CAUUAUUUUAUCAUAUGAGUUGUUGUCAUCUUAACAUUACCUUAUUUUGUAUAUAUUCUUUCUUAUUUCUAAACCUUCUUUAUUUAUUAUUCAUGUGUCUUUGUUUGAAGUGGAAGUGAACUUGAUGUUACUCUGUGGGAAACAUAUGCCAACCAAUUUACGGCAUACAAAGAUGAAAAUACCACAGGUGGCCCCAAAAUAAUCAUAAUCACUCAUAAUAUGUGCCAACAAAGUUCAAGUAUGCAUUCAUAUGUUUCACCUAUUUUCUUCAUUCCAUGUUUCUGUAAUGAAUAAGGACAAAAGGGGUAACAAAUCACAACAGAAUAAUCAACACGUGGCCUAUGAUCCUCAAAUUCAGGAGUUGGGACGUGGAGUGAGAAGCAAAAUUCCCAACAGAAAAUAUACCACUGAUUUCAUUUAAGUAGCCCAAUGAUUGGUAAUGAGUGGUGUGGAAUUUAGUGGAAAGAAUUGGAUUCUCUUCUCCCUAUGAGCACUAUGCUUUCUAGAUCCUUCCUUUAAUUUCUCUGUACUUACAUUUCUGCAAGUGGAGAACCACAAUCAUUUUAUCAUUUACGAAACAAUACUUGAAAUUUGUACUGUUGCAUUGAGAAAAUUAGUACAAAUUUACCUUAAUCGCUGUGUAUUGUGUGCAUCUAUUUUUGAACCAUAACAUUUCUUACUUACUGAACUCUUAAGCUUGUGGCUCUUAUUUAUGGUUUUUAUUUACUAUAUUCUCCUUUUUCGCAGCAAUGGAAAGCUCUACAUCUCUAAUUCUUGGGUGCUUUCAUUUGUACCUGGAAAUCUCAUCAUACUUAGUUAACAAAUAAUUUGAUUUUUGAUUCUUACUUUCAUAGCUAACUUUAUUCAUGUACAUACAUUCUUAUAUAGGUAUAAGAUUGAAAUAGAGGUCGAGUAUGAAGGCAAGAUCGGUUGUUUUGUGUUUUGGGACAAGGAGUGGAUUAGUUAUGUUGGAUUGGGUGCACAUGAUUUAAGAGAAGUUAUGAAAAAGACCAAUGAAGAUCAUCCACAAAUAUACUUUGCACACCUAGAUAAUCUGUUGGGCAAAGAAUUCGAUUUUCGUAUGAAGUACCAACCGGAGUAUAAGCAAUCAUCAGUUGUCAAGCAUACCGAGGAUAAACAAAUCAUCCAAAUGAUCAAAGAUGACAUGGUUCAACAUGAGGUCUUUCAAUCGUUUGUAAACAUGUUUUCUUUAAAUUCAAUUAGUAUCAUGUUUUUCUUA